rnacentral:rRNA from 1 species
UACGAAGGGGGCUAGCGUUGCUCGGAAUUACUGGGCGUAAAGAGCUCGUAGGCGGUUUGUCGCGUCUGCCGUGAAAGUCCGGGGCUUAACCCCGGAUCUGCGGUGGGUACGGGCAGACUAGAGUGCAGUAGGGGAGACUGGAAUUCCUGGUGUAGCGGUGAAAUGCGCAGAUAUCAGGAGGAACACCGAUGGCGAAGGCAGGUCUCUGGGCUGUAACUGACGCUGAGGAGCGAAAGCAUGGGGAGCGAACAGG